rnacentral:rRNA from 1 species
CCUACGGGAGGCAGCAGUGGGGAAUAUUGCACAAUGGGCGCAAGCCUGAUGCAGCCAUGCCGCGUGUGUGAAGAAGGCCUUCGGGUUGUAAAGCACUUUCAGCGGGGAGGAAGGCGUUAAGGUUAAUAACCUUGUCGAUUGACGUUACCCGCAGAAGAAGCACCGGCUAACUCCGUGCCAGCAGCCGCGGUAAUACGGAGGGUGCAAGCGUUAAUCGGAAUUACUGGGCGUAAAGCGCACGCAGGCGGUCUGUCAAGUCGGAUGUGAAAUCCCCGGGCUCAACCGGGGAACUGCAUUCGAAACUGGCAGGCUAGAGUCUUGUAGAGGGGGGUAGAAUUCCAGGUGUAGCGGUGAAAUGCGUAGAGAUCUGGAGGAAUACCGGUGGCGAAGGCGGCCCCCUGGACAAAGACUGACGCUCAGGUGCGAAAGCGUGGGGAGCAAACAGGAUUAGAUACCCCUGUAGUC